GACGAACGCUGGCGGCGUGCCUAAUACAUGCAAGUCGAACGCAUUUUCUUUCACCGUAGCUUGCUACACCGAAAGAAAAUGAGUGGCGAACGGGUGAGUAACACGUGGGUAACCUGCCCAUCAGCGGGGGAUAACACUUGGAAACAGGUGCUAAUACCGCAUAAUUCCAUUUACCGCAUGGUAGAUGGGUGAAAGGCGCUUUUGCGUCACUGAUGGAUGGACCCGCGGUGCAUUAGCUAGUUGGUGGGGUAACGGCCUACCAAGGCUGCGAUGCAUAGCCGACCGGAGAGGGUGAUCGGCCACACUGGGACUGAGACACGGCCCAGACUCCUACGGGAGGCAGCAGUAGGGAAUCUUCGGCAAUGGACGCAAGUCUGACCGAGCAACGCCGCGUGAGUGAAGAAGGUUUUCGGAUCGUAAAACUCUGUUGUUAGAGAAGAACAAGGAUGAGAGUGGAAAGUUCAUCCCUUGACGGUAUCUAACCAGAAAGCCACGGCUAACUACGUG
rnacentral:rRNA from 1 species